AGAUUGAACGCUGGCGGAAUGCUUUACACAUGCAAGUCGAGCGGCAGCGCGGGGGCAACCCUGGCGGCGAACGGCGAACGGGUGAGUAAUACAUCGGAACAUGUCCAGUCGUGGGGGAUAGCCCGGCGAAAGCCGGAUUAAUACCGCAUGAGCUCGAGAGAGGAAAGCGGGGGACCGUAAGGCCUCGCGCGACUGGGUUGGCCGAUGUCCGAUUAGCUAGUUGGCGGGUAAUGGCCUACCAAGGCGAUGAUCGGUAGCUGGUCUGAGAGGAUGAUCAGCCGCACUGGGACUGAGACACGGCCCAGACUCCUACGGGAGGCAGCAGUGGGAAUUUUGGACAAUGGGGGCAACCCUGAUCCAGCCAUUCCGCGUGAGUGAAGAAGGCCUUCGGGUUGUAAAGCUUCGUUUGUCCGGAACGAAACGGUUAGCGUGAUAGUCGCUGACUACUGACGUACCGGAAGAAUAAGCACGCUAACUACGUG
rnacentral:rRNA from 1 species